GACGAACGCUGGCGGCGUGCUUAACACAUGCAAGUCGAGCGAGACCCGCCUUUCGGGUGGUGUUCUAGCGGCGAACGGGUGAGUAACACGUGGGCAACCUGCCCUCGGCUCUGGGAUAACUCCAAGAAAUUGGGGCUAAUACCGGAUAUGACUGCUGACCGCAUGGUCUGGUGGUGGAAAGAUUUAUCGGCUGGGGAUGGGCCCGCGGCCUAUCAGCUUGUUGGUGGGGUAGUGGCCACCAAGGCGACGACGGGUAGCCGGCCUGAGAGGGUGACCGGCCACACUGGGACUGAGACACGGCCCAGACUCCUACGGGAGGCAGCAGUGGGGAAUAUUGCGCAAUGGGCGGAAGCCUGACGCAGCGACGCCGCGUGGGGA
rnacentral:rRNA from 1 species